rnacentral:rRNA from 1 species
GACGAACGCUGGCGGCGUGCUUAACACAUGCAAGUCGAACGAAGAGCGAUGGAAGCUUGCUUCUAUCAAUCUUAGUGGCGAACGGGUGAGUAACGCGUAAUCAACCUGCCCUUCAGAGGGGGACAACAGUUGGAAACGACUGCUAAUACCGCAUACGAUCUAAUCUCGGCAUCGAGGAUAGAUGAAAGGUGGCCUCUACAUGUAAGCUAUCACUGAAGGAGGGGAUUGCGUCUGAUUAGCUAGUUGGAGGGGUAACGGCCCACCAAGGCGAUGAUCAGUAGCCGGUCUGAGAGGAUGAACGGCCACAUUGGGACUGAGACACGGCCCAGACUCCUACGGGAGGCAGCAGUGGGGAAUCUUCCGCAAUAGACGAAAGUCUGACGGAGCAACGCCGCGUGAGUGAUGACGGCCUUCGGGUUGUAAAGCUCUGUUAAUCGGGACGAAAGGCCUUCUUGCGAAUAGUGAGAAGGAUUGACGGUACCGGAAUAGAAAGCCACGGCUAACUACGUG